rnacentral:rRNA from 1 species
AGAAUCAACGCUGGCGGCGUGCCUAACACAUGCAAGUCGAACGAGAAAGUGGAGCAAUCCAUUAGUAAAGUGGCGCACGGGUGAGUAACACGUGACUAACCUACCCUUGAGUGGGGGAUAACCUAGGGAAACCUGGGCUAAUACCGCAUAAUACCUUCGGGUCAAAGGAGCAAUCCGUUUGAGAAGGGGGUCGCGGCAGAUUAGUUAGUUGGCGGGGUAAUGGCCCACCAAGACGAUGAUCUGUA